GUGAUGUUGAUGUUGUUGGGUUCGUGAUGAACGAUGUUGAACGAUUUUAGAUGAAUGAGUUGAGUUGGUUGAAGAUCUAUGAAGAUGAUGACGAAAGCUACGAAUCUGAAUCUCGGAUCCGACCCUUCCACGGGAUUAGGGUUUCAGGAGAUCUCGGUCGCAAGUUCUUUUCCAAUAUGAUUGGUUAGCAGAAUUUUGUGGGAAGUGGCGGUUUGAGUCGGUGAUGCAGCCUGUUUCUUCGGGAACCAGUUUGUUAUUCGUUUCGGUUGAGCUUUAUGCAGGGCUGCAGUUCUCAUAAGACCAUUACUUGAACAUUAUAGUAAAAUAAAUUCUUACUUCUUGCAGAGAUUUAAGCUUCAAUAUGUUUUCUGGUUCAAUCCCAAAUUCAAUCCAGGGAUUGAAAAGGCUAAAUUACAUGUAAGUGAACAUUCAUUUACCGGCCGACCAUAAGAUUAACCAAAAUAAUACAUCUAUAUGUUGAUAUCUAAAGAAUUAGCUGUUUUUCCUUUGUUGAUUUAACUUUGCUGUUUGGAUGUAGGUUUAUGACAAAUAAUUCUUUGAGUGGACCGAUUCAAGACUGGAUACUUAACUUCAAAUUCAAUAAUUUUUCAAUCUGUGAAAUAACUUCACUCAUUUUUCUUUUUUGAAUACCUUUCUUUAUAUUCAUUUGAAGCAUCAAACAUGUCUCUUUGAUUAUAGCGGAAAAGUGGAUGAUUCCAUAGGCAAUUUCUAUUCUCUUAGUGUAGUCAUUUCUUUUCAUCUUCCCAUCACCUCCCUGUUUGAUUAAUUCACUACUAUAUUGCAGAAGAAGAAUAAGAUGAAAGUGGAUUGUAAGGUGAAGUGGAUAGCUGUAGCAGUGAAAAUCCGUUUUGACUGUAGCGACCUCAACGAAACAGAAGGCUGCAGUUCCGGAACAGUUUCAACUGAACGAUGCACUUGAUCUACACACUUUGC